UUUGCAGCAAUUGCUGAGCUAGUGGAUAAUGCUGUUGAUGAGGUCCAAAAUGGUGCAACUUUUGUUAAGGUUGACAAGCUUAAGAACAAGAAGGAUAAUUCACCUGUGCUAUGCUUUCUAGAUGAUGGUGGUGGAAUGGAUCCUAACUCACUACAGAAGUGCAUGAGCUUAGGUUAUUCUUCAAAGAAGUCAAAGACAAC